rnacentral:rRNA from 1 species
GACGAACGCUGGCGGCGUGCCUAACACAUGCAAGUCGAACGGAGCACUUCGGUGCUUAGUGGCGAACGGGUGAGUAACGCGUGAGAAACCUGCCUCUCAGUGGGGGACAACAGUUGGAAACGACUGCUAAUACCGCAUAAUGUAUCCGGAAGGCAUCUUCUGGAUACCAAAGCUUUAUGGGCUGAGAGAUGGUCUCGCGUCUGAUUAGCUAGUUGGCGGGGUAACGGCCCACCAAGGCGACGAUCAGUAGCCGGUCUGAGAGGAGGAACGGCCACAUUGGGACUGAGAUACGGCCCAGACUCGUACGGGAGGCAGCAGUGGGGAAUAUUGGGCAAUGGGGGAAACCCUGACCCAGCAACGCCGCGUGAAGGAAGAAGGCCCUCGGGUUGUAAACUUCUUUUACCAGGGACGAAGAAAGUGACGGUACCUGGAGAAAAAGCAACGGCUAACUACGUGCCAGCCGCCGCCGUAACAC